GGUGAACGCUGGCGGCGUGCCUAAGACAUGCAAGUCGAGCGGGCCGCGGGGUUUUACUCCGUGGUCAGCGGCGGACGGGUGAGUAACGCGUGGGUGACCUACCCGGAAGAGGGGGACAACCCGGGGAAACUCGGGCUAAUCCCCCAUGUGGACCCGCCCCUUGGGGUGUGUCCAAAGGGCUUUGCCCGCUUCCGGAUGGGCCCGCGUCCCAUCAGCUAGUUGGUGGGGUAAUGGCCCACCAAGGCGACGACGGGUAGCCGGCCUGAGAGGGUGGCCGGCCACAGGGGAACUGAGACACGGGCCCCACUCCUACGGGAGGCAGCAGUUAGGAAUCUGCCGCAAUGGGCGCAAGCCUGACGGAGCGACGCCGCUUGGAGGAAGAAGCCCUUCGGGGUGUAAACUCCUGAACCCGGGACGAAACCCCCGACGAGGGGACUGACGGUACCGGGGUAAUAGCGCCGGCCAACUCCGUG
rnacentral:rRNA from 1 species